rnacentral:lncRNA from 1 species
AGGCUGCGAGAAUACCUACGGUUUAGGGGAAGAGCAAUUUAUGUUUAUUCAGGCCUCUCAGAAAACAAAAACUUCAAGGCAACCUUGUCUUAUUUCAGACAGAAACAACAAAGAAACAGAUAUAAUUCCUAACCAUUUUACAUUUCUGGUCCAGUGGGAUUUUUCAGAACUUUCUAAAGGACAGGAACCAGGCUGACAGAUAAUGAUUUGACACCUCUGUUAAUGAUUUUUAAAACAUUAUGCAAAUAUGAAGCUUCUUCUUCCUUAAGGCCAUACCUCCUCUUUGCCAACCUGUCCCACUGUGGUAGUCAGUUGCCCAUGUUUUUGGGAUAGCUCCUUAUGCGCUAAGAGAGAUGGAUGGAGAUGCAAGGACAAAAGUAUAGAUUUAGCAGGGCCUCAGUUAUGUUUUGGCAUCUACCCACUCUUUCUCUAACCACAUAUUUUUCACACACCCAGCCCCACUCACAGCUGCUUGCCUAUAGGGCCAAAAAUCUUUAGUUAGUGAUCUGCCAGAAUUCCCCUUUCUGUGUAGGAGAUUGGAGUGAUUUCAAAUAACCCAUCUGGUGGGAUGAAGAGAAGUAAAGAAACUGAGGUAAAUAAAAUACAUAUUGUUAAAUACUUGGUUGCAUGCAUUGUGUCUUUGCUAAAAUUUGUUUGUGGACUAUAUUUGUUGAGCUGGUAUGUAUUCAUUUCUGUUUGUUUGCCUUAUAACCUUUACUUUUGCUGGGAGGGUGAUAUGGGUGUGGUGGUGUUGAUAGGUAUUGCUAUCUCCUAGGCCAGAGGAAACAUUUCAAAAUUGCUUUUUAUUUUCUCAACCAGAAUUCUGAAGACCUGGAUCCUUGGCAUAAAAAUAUAAGCUAGAAAGAUAAGUUGCCAAGUAUAUAUUACAUACCUCCUGGCCAUGGAAUUUGGUAGGCUUACUUAGAGAAAUAGGAAAGUCGUUUCCAAAAGACUUAUUCUGUAUCUCCUUAACUGACUUUCAUAUUUGUACAUUUUCUAUUUAUAAAUGGUGUUACUUUUUUCCACUUAGGGUAGUUUAAUCUGUAAAUAUGAAAAAUUAAUAAAGGACAAAUCCUCAUUUUGUUGAGUUCUGAUACUCCAAGCAAAUUCUUUGCCUAGACUUUUUCUUUAUUGCUGAAAUGAGCUGGAGAAAUUCAUUUUCUUCUGAAUUGUUAUCUCAAUUAAAGAGCUUAUUUUGAAUGGUCUAGAGAAGUUCUGUCCAGUAGAUUUUUCUGUAGUGAUGGUAUUUAAUACCUUGAAUAUGGUAGGUCACUUACCAUAGUAACCAACAGCUGAAGGACACUGAAAAUAUGGCUAGUGCAAUUAAAGAAUUAAUUAAGUAAUCUAAUUUAGUAGAUACUGUAUUGGACAGUACAGUUUUGGAAUACUUUAGUCAUUCAGACAAUUUCUUCUAGGUUAAAAAUUCACCAAAUGCAUCAUUGUUUGGUUCUCUUAUGAAUUUGACAGGUUUUGAUUAGUAACUUAAGCUUAUGUAUUUUAGAACAGUUUUAAUUCAUUACCAUGUCUUUAUACAAUAAACUGUUCACAAAAUAGUGAGCUGUAACAGUUUUCCAAGUUUUAAAUUUUUCUAUGGAUGCCACUGUAUUUUUAAUAAAAGCACUCAUUAGAUUUCUGCUGAAAGCUAAAAGCUGGCCAAUUACCAAGCAAUGACCACACAGUAAUUGAGUGUUAGUCUUUGGCCAAUAUUGCAUAAAAUACUCCACAAGUUACAAAAAAGGAUUUUAUGUGAUUCCUCUCAUCAACAAUCUUACAGUCUUGCCAGAAAGACAAAACUAGCAGGCAUGAAAUAAUUAAAAAUCAAUCAGUGCUAAACCUUAUUAUGCAAAACAGGAGUGAAGAAGCGGGUGAGAUCAGUGUAACCAUAGCAGCCAAUCUCUGUACUUUGUCUAAAGGAUCCUUAGAAAUCACUUAUUCUGAAUGUCAGACAUGAUGAAAUUGUAUUUCAGUGGCCUUACCUGUUCAAGAUUUCACAACUGUCUGAAGACAUGCCCAGAACGUGAAUGAAGGUUUUUCCACAUUGCCUUUAAGACUGCCUCCUAGAGGAAAUUGUUGUUAACAAUUCAUUAUAAGGAAACUUGAGGUCAAGCAAUUAUAGAGCAAAUUUCAUUUCAAAUAUCAGUUUCUUCCAGCAGAGUGUCCUCCAACUUAAUUGUUAUUUAACACGUUCAUAAGUUUUACCAUAUCCCCUUCUACCACCCGUACUUCUUUUAUUUUUAAUUUAAAGUUUAUUACAAGGAAACUGGAAAGCCAACAUAAUUUAUCAUGAACAAAUGGUGACUGGGAAAUAAAUACCUGAAAAAUAAAUACUAAACUAUGCUAUAAAUUCCUAGUCAGACACUUCACCUGAGCCAGAGGAUUGUUCUCUAUAUAAAGGGUAUUAGUAAAGGCUGAAAACCUUAGAUGCAUUCGUCCCACAUUAUUGUAAAGAGCAAUCCUUUUCUUCAAUUUGCAAGGUCACAUUACUAAAUCUAAUACCUUUCAUUGGCCCUCUACAGGCUGUUUAUAAUUUCAUUAGGAAGAAAUUAGCUAAGAACCCUUAGUUCUUUACUGCACACAUACAUGUCUGCAUGAAUUUAUGUGUCUGUGUUGGUUGGUGGUAUGGAGUUAAUGGUGGUUACACUUUCAAAUUAUAUAAAUGUAUAAGUUUCCUGAUUAUUUUCCUAAUUGAAACAAAGCUUAUUUGAUCUACUGGAUGGUGUUUUGGUGGUUGUUUUUUUACAGGGAAAGUAAUUGUGUAAUUAAUCUUUGAAAAAUGUUAAUUAAAUGGAUUAGAUAGAUUAUCUUUCCAUCUACAGACAUACAAGUCUAUCAUCCAUUAAAUGAAAAAAAAAAAAAAAACUUACAUGGCUCUUGGUGGAACAGUCUGGAGUCCACAGCUGCUUGUGGCUUAUGGAAAUGGUUUAUUAGGGGAAAAGAUGACAUACAUAUUUCUUUAAAAAGUGGAAAGCGCUAUGAAAGUAUAAUUCUUAAAAUCUUAGAAAAACAUGACUCUUGAGAGUUCCCGUUAUGGCCCAGCAGUUAACGAACCUGACUAGGAUCCAUGAGGAUGCAGGUUCAAUCCCUGGUCUUGCUCAGUAUGUUAAGGAUCUGGCAGGUGUUGCUGUGAGCUGUGGUGUAGGUCACAGACGUGACUCCAAUCCAGGGUUGCUGUGGCUGUGGUGUAGACCAAUAGCCGUAGCUCUGAUUCAACCCCUAGCCUGUGAACUUCCAUAUGCCAUGGGUGCGGCCC